GGAAACAGUUGCUAAGGCUGGAUAGGAAAUAAAAAGGCAUCUUUUUAUUUUUAAAAGACCUUUUUCGGAAGGUAUGCUUAAAGAGGGGCUUGCGUCACAUUAGUUAGUUGGUAGGGUAAAGGCCUACCAAGACGAUGAUGUGUAGCUGGACUGAGAGGUUGAACAGCCACAUUGGGACUGAGACACGGCCCAAACUCCUACGGGAGGCAGCAGUAGGGAAUUUUCGGCAAUGGAGGAAACUCUGACCGAGCAACGCCGCGUGAACGACGAAGUACUUCGGUAUGUAAAGUUCUUUUAUUGAAGAAGAAACAAUAGUGGAAAAACUAUCUUGACGUUAUUCAAUGAAUAAGCCCCGGCUAACUAUGUGCCAGCAGCCGCGGUAAUACAUAGGGGGCGAGCGUUAUCCGGAAUUAUUGGGCGUAAAGGGUGCGUAGGCGGUUUAAUAAGUCUCUAGUUUAAUUUCAACGCUUAACGUUGUCCUGCUAGAGAAACUGUUUAACUAGAGUGAGAUAGAGGUAAGCGGAAUUCCAUGUGUAGCGGUAAAAUGUGUAAAUAUAUGGAGGAACACCAGAGGCGUAGGCGGCUUACUGGGUCUUUACUGACGCUGAUGCACGAAAGCGUGGGGAGCAAACAGGAUUAGAUACCCUGGUAGUCCACGCCGUAAACUAUGAGUACUAAGUGUCGGGGUUAAACUCGGUACUGAAGUUAACACAUUAAGUACUCCGCCUGAGUAGUACGUACGCAAGUAUGAAACUUAAAGGAAUUGACGGGAUCCCGCACAAGCGGUGGAUCAUGUUGUUUAAUUCGAAGAUACACGAAAAACCUUACCAGGUCUUGACAUACUCUGCAAAGCUAUAGAAAUAUAGUGGAGGUUAUCAGGGAUACAGGUGGUGCAUGGUUGUCGUCAGCUCGUGUCGUGAGAUGUUAGGUUAAGUUCUAAAACGAGCGCAACCCCUGUCGUUAAUUGCCAGCACGUUAUGGUGGGGACUUUAGCGAGACUGCCAAUGAAAAAUUGGAGGAAGGUGGGGAUUACGUCAAAUCAUCAUGCCCCUUAUGAUCUGGGCUACAAACGUGAUACAAUGGCUAUUACAAAGAGUAGCUGAAACGCGAGUUUUCGGCAAAUCUCAAAAAAAUAGUCUCAGUUCGGAUUGAAGUCUGCAACUCGACUUCAUGAAGUUGGAAUCGCUAGUAAUCGCGAAUCAGCAUGUCGCGGUGAAUACGUUCUCGGGGUUUGUACACACCGCCCGUCA
rnacentral:rRNA from 1 species